rnacentral:tRNA from 1 species
GGCCUUGUGGCGCAAUGGUAGCGCGCCAGAUCAGAAGGUUGCGUGUUCAAAUCACGUCGGGGUCA